rnacentral:rRNA from 1 species
UAGAGGUUUGACUCCUGGCUCGAGGACGAACGCUGGCGGCGUGCUUAACACAUGCAAGUCGAACGGAAAGGCCCUGCUUUUGUGGGGUGCUCGAGUGGCGAACGGGUGAGUAACACGUGAGUAACCUGCCCUUGACUUUGGGAUAACUUCAGGAAACUGGGGCUAAUACCGGAUAGGGGCUCCUGCUGCAGUGGUGGGGGUUGGAAAGUUUCGGCGGUUGGGGAUGGACUCGCGGCUUAUCAGCUUGUUGUGGGGUAGUGGCUUACCAAGGCUUUGACGGGUAGCCGGCCUGAGAGGGUGACCGGCCACAUUGGGACUGAGAUACGGCCCAGACUCCUACGGGAGGCAGCAGUGGGGAAUAUUGCACAAUGGGCGGAAGCCUGAUGCAGCAACGCCGCGUGCGGGAUGACGGCCUUCGGGUUGUAAACCGCUUUCGCCUGUGACGAAGCGUGGGUGACGGUAAUGGGUAAAGAAGCACCGGCUAACUACGUG